rnacentral:rRNA from 1 species
AGUGAACGCUGGCGGUAGGCCUAACACAUGCAAGUCGAACGGCAGCACAGAGGAGCUUGCUCCUUGGGUGGCGAGUGGCGGACGGGUGAGGAAUACAUCGGAAUCUACUCUGUCGUGGGGGAUAACGUAGGGAAACUUACGCUAAUACCGCAUACGACCUACGGGUGAAAGCAGGGGACCUUCGGGCCUUGCGCGAUUGAAUGAGCCGAUGUCGGAUUAGCUAGUUGGCGGGGUAAAGGCCCACCAAGGCGACGAUCCGUAGCUGGUCUGAGAGGAGGAUCAGCCACACUGGAACUGAGACACGGUCCAGACUCCUACGGGAGGCAGCAGUGGGGAAUAUUGGACAAUGGGCGCAAGCCUGAUCCAGCCAUACCGCGUGGGUGAAGAAGGCCUUCGGGUUGUAAAGCCCUUUUGCUGGGAAAGAAAUCCAGCUGCUAAUACCCGGUUGGGAUGACGGUACCCAAAGAAUAAGCACCGGCUAACUUCGUGCCAGCAGCCGCGGUAA